rnacentral:rRNA from 1 species
CAGCAGCCGCGGUAAUACGUAGGUGGCAAGCGUUGUCCGGAAUUAUUGGGCGUAAAGCGCGCGCAGGCGGUUUCUUAAGUCUGAUGUGAAAGCCCCCGGCUUAACCGGGGAGGGUCAUUGGAAACUGGGAGACUUAGAGUGCAGAAGAGGAGAGUGGAAUUCCAUGUGUAGCGGUGAAAUGCGUAGAUAUAUGGAGGAACACCAGUGGCGAAGGCGACUCUCUGGUCUGUAACUGACGCUGAGGCGCGAAAGCGUGGGGAGCAAACAGGAUUAGAUACCCCCGUAGUCCCUGUCUCUUAUU